rnacentral:lncRNA from 1 species
CAGAAUGAAGGGUGUGCUUACAGUUCUAUCAACUAUGUUCCUAGGUAUCGAAAUGAGAUUAAGGGGUGCUUACAGUUCUAUCAACUACGUUCCUAGGUAUCGAAAUGAGAUUAAGGGGUGCUUACUAUCUCAUUGACUCUAUUUUCAAGACUCGAGCUUGAAAUAUAUGAUUAAGAAUGAAAAGGUUUAGUGAUUACCAAUCAGAUGUUAUAUAUCGUUCGAGAAAGGGUUGCACCCCAAGGGCAACAACCUAUAUUUUGCACAAGUCUUUCUUAAAAUAAGGUUCAAAAUUUUAUUUUAUUUUUUUCUAAAAAAAAAAAGAGAAAAGAAAGGAAAAGGUUAGAAAAAAGGAAAUAAAUUGAGAAGUCAAUUCAUGAAAGUUAAAAGAAGAAAUAGGGAAAAAAUAAUUGCCUUUCAAUGUUUGAUAUAGUGUUAUUCUCUUCCACUUUCCUUGGGCC